AAUCGUAUUACCUAAGAGUUUACAUAAGUAUUAAUACACAUUAUACUAACCUACAGAAUUUUACUUAGUAGAGAAAACUUUAAGGCUCUUCUUGGAUACACUCUUGAGUCAUAUGCAGUGCUCAUAAACUACAUUUACACAGUUGUUCAGCACCCAGUCAUGGUUGUACGCACACCCAGAUUGUCACUUAUCUUUGCUGUAUUGGCAGUAAUAGGAUUUUUACUGUUCAUUCGCAUCAUCACAUCUCUAAAGGAUUUUAAAAAUGAUCGACUAAGUUUACCAUUCUACAAAAUUAAGAGCAGAAUUCACUCAACAUUUAAGCCUCCUACAACCGUGUCCCCGGUGGUGGUAAACCAGACAUACUGUGGACAAUUUGUCCAGAAGCUCACAGAAGAAGAGGCCAUAGAACAGAGACAUUUGCUCAAUUCCCUUGCAUGGCCAGGUCCACUCGUGAAAGGCCUCCCUCUGAAGUUCAGCAGUAAUCCUUCCAAGAGCUACUUUGUGAUUCAGGGUCCACCAGAGCAACACAUAGGUGAUCAGCUUGUGGUUAAUGUCCAUGUGCACAACUUCUUGGGCCAACCUAAGGAGCAUGGAGGAGAUUUCCUGAUAGCCAGGCUGCAUUCACCUGAGCUGCAUGCUGGGGUGGCAGGGAAGGUUCAUGACCACAAUGAUGGGAACUAUACAGUACUGUUCCCACUGCUGUGGGCUGGUGUAGUGAAAGUGAAAAUCACCAUGUUGCAUCCCAGUGAGGCAAUGGUGUUUCUUAAGAGACUACGAGAGGAAGCAUCUGACACAGUGGUUUUUAAAAGCCUAUUCCGCUCUGGUGCCCUCUCAGAGACAACUGACUGCGACAUGUGUCUUCCAAUCAACCAGAAACCACUCUGCAAUUACACUGAUCUUGAAACUGGAGAGCCCUGGUACUGCUACAAACCCAAAAAGCUAGGCUGUGACACACGAAUAAAUCAUUAUAACGGGGGUUAUAGGAAGGCCUUCUUUAACAAGUAUGAAGCAGAUUUUUUCAGGAGUGGUGUAAAUGUCAAUGUGCCCAUACCCGCAGCAGAGGUGGACCAUGUGACUGUGUUACCUGCAGAAAAUAAUCAAACCAAAGUAAAAAGUACUUACAAUGCUGCUGGCUACUACUAUCAAGAUAACUGGAGGUCUUUGAGUGGUGCAGCCAUCCAGCAGUUUAAUAACGCAUCAGCCAUAACAAAUUGUCUAAGAGGGAAGAUUGUGUACAUGCAUGGAGAUUCAACAAUACGGCAGUGGUUUGAGUACCUCGCUGCUUUUGUUCCGAAUCUGAAACCAGUUAAUCUUUACAGCCCUAAGAAGGUGGGACCAUUCAUGCUUGUGGACAACAGUAAUAAUAUUUUAGUGAAGUUUCGCUGCCAUGGGCCGCCCCUCCGCUCCACCCCAGUGUACUCAUCUGAACUGCGCUACAUUUCAAAUGAGUUAGAUAGGAUACAGGGUGGGCCAAACACAGUGUUUAUAAUAACUGUGUGGACUCACUUUGCCACUUACCCUAUUGAAACAUAUAUACGCCGUCUACGGCACAUUCGUAAGGCCGUGGUGCGGCUGCUGAACCGUGAGCCAGAUACGUUGGUGGUGAUCCGCACUGCCAACCUGCAGACCUUUAAUCCAGCAUACAGCCUGUUCUAUAGCAACUGGUUAAGUCUGCAGAUUGACACUGUGCUGCGUGCCAUGUUCAAAGGUCUCAAUGUGAAGAUGCUGGAUGCCUGGGAAAUGACGUUGGCCCACCACCUACCCCAUGACCUACACCCACCCCAAGCCAUUAUCAAAAACAUGAUUGAUGUGAUCCUCUCCUUUACCUGUCCAGUUGGGAAAACAUAAAAGUUUUCUCCCAUGAUGGGAAAAUUUCCACCAUCUGCAAAUCUGAAAAUGUUAAACACAGCUAUAAUUAAUGAUAAAACCACUUAAGAGAAUAAGCUGCCUGAAGAGAGUGAUGCGCUUCUGAUCUGCUACAGUCCUGUGGCCUGCCUCCAUACAGCUCCUACACCAUCUACUGUCAGGAUCCAGCCUAACCAUGUGUUUUUUUAUGUUUAAACUCUGAAAGAAAUACAUUUUUACAUUUAGACUUACAUUUAUAUUUAUCAUUUAUAAAUCGGAACAUUUUUUGUAUGGUUUAAUUGGCUGAUUGUGAGUCAGUCUCAUAGUGUGGAACUUUCCCUGGAUGUGUAGCGUACCUGAGACCUUUUGGUUGUGGACUGUUCAUCCUAACAGUAUAUAAAACAGCAAGAACACACACACACUGAUUUAAUCUUUUCCCAGCUAGCUGUGGGACCUUAGGUGGUUCAAAGUUCAUAUUAAUAUUUUAUAUUAAAAUGUGUAUUUUUACUCAGUAAUAAAUGUACACUUACCACUGUACA